UACGUAGGGUGCAAGCGUUAAUCGGAAUUACUGGGCGUAAAGCGUGCGCAGGCGGUUUUGUAAGUCAGAUGUGAAAUCCCCGGGCUUAACCUGGGAACUGCGUUUGAAACUACAAGGCUAGAGUGUGGCAGAGGGGGGUGGAAUUCCACGUGUAGCAGUGAAAUGCGUAGAGAUGUGGAGGAACACCGAUGGCGAAGGCAGCCCCCUGGGUUAACACUGACGGCUCAGGCACGAAAGCGUGGGGAGCAAACAGG
rnacentral:rRNA from 1 species